rnacentral:lncRNA from 1 species
UCCCCUGUCUUAUAAAAUCAUAUCGAACAUUGUCAUACAUGUACUAAUAAUUGAUGUAGGCCAAGUAAAAAACUUCACAUAUGCAUUCAUUACAUUGUCAUAUCUAACAUUAUGAUACAUGUACUAAUAAUUUGAUGUAGACCAAGUAAAAAACUCUACAUAUACAUUCAUACAUUGUCAUAUCUAACAUUAUGAUACAUGUACUAAUAAUUGAUGUAGACCAAGUAAAAAACUCCACAUAUACAUUCAUACAUUGUCAUAUCUAACAUUAUGAUA